rnacentral:rRNA from 1 species
GACGAACGCUGGCGGCGUGCUUAACACAUGCAAGUCGAACGGAAAAGCCUGCUUUCCCUUGUGGAUUGCGGGUACUCGAGUGGCUAACGGGUGAGUAACACGUGAGUGAUCUGCCCCCAACUUGGGUAUAAACCUGGGAAACUGGGUCUGAUUCCCGAUACGACUGCAUGGUGGUGUCUGUUGUGGGAAACGAUUUUCUUGGGUGUGGGGAUGAGCUCUCGGCCUAUCAGCUUGGUGGUGGGGUAAUGGCCUACCAACGCGGCGACGGGUAGCCGGCCUGGGAGGGUGGACGGGAAAGGUGGAACGGAGAUACGGCGAAGACUACUACGGGAGGAAGCAGUGGGGAAUAUGGCACGAGGGGUGGAAGACUGAUGCAGCGACGCUGAGUGGGGGAUGCCGGCUGUGGGGUUGUAAACUCCGUUCGGCCGCGAGGAAGCAGCAUGGUUGGAAGGGUGGUGACGGUAGUGGUAGAAGAAGCACCGGCUAACUACGUG